GCCUGGGUGGCUCAGUUGGUUGAGCGUCUGACUUCGGCUCAGGUUUCGUGGGUUCGAGCCCCACUUCUGGCU